AACGAACGCUGGCGGCAGGCUUAACACAUGCAAGUCGAACGCCCCGCAAGGGGAGUGGCAGACGGGUGAGUAACGCGUGGGAACGUGCCCUAAGGUACGGAACAACUCCGGGAAACUGGAGCUAAUACCGUAUGUGACCGAGAGGUGAAAGAUUUAUCGCCUUAGGAUCGGCCCGCGUCAGAUUAGCUAGUUGGUGGGGUAAUGGCCUACCAAGGCGACGAUCUGUAGCUGUUCUGAGAGGAAGAUCAGCCACACUGGGACUGAGACACGGCCCAGACUCCUACGGGAGGCAGCAGUGGGGAAUCUUGGACAAUGGGCGCAAGCCUGAUCCAGCCAUGCCGCGUGAGUGAUGAAGGCCUUAGGGUUGUAAAACUCUUUCGCCGAGGACGAUAAUGACGGUACUCGGAGAAGAAGCUCCGGCUAACUUCGUGCCAGCCGCCGCGGUAACAC
rnacentral:rRNA from 1 species